CACCCCAGCCCUGCCUUGCUUCUCCUUAGCCCCGGGUGUACCCGAGAAGGGAUGGCAGCCAGAGACCGAGGGACCAGUUCGGUGCUCACAGGCUCCCAGGGGCAGUGGGGGUCUGCUGCCCCCGCCCUUUGGCCCCUUCCUGUGCCCUUUCCUGUCCGCGGCAGUCUGCUAACCUCCGCUGGGGGCGGGGGCUUUCAUCCUAUCAGAAUAUGUCUUAUGGACACUUAGAAAGGAGGGACCGAUGGCAGUUGGCGAGGUGCCGUCUCACAGGCCACACGUUGCAUCAGCUUCUUGGCACUCACAUCGCCUGGUGUGAUUUGCAAGGUCUGGGGACUCGAAAUCGUUCACGUUUUCUCUACAGGCCGGACGACUAGGAAGCCAUCGUAACACGUGCUAAGUGGGCCUUUCGCCAGUCAGAAAACUCCAAGACUUCCUCUUUGGACACACACGUUUGUGCUUGGGGUGUGAAACAGCUGCUCUCCAAAGUCUUUGAUUUCACCAAGCAGCUGGUCUUCCAGAGAGGUGACAGUCUGAACACAGUGGUCAUCAUCCUUCAAACCCCAAUUCUCUGACCUCAACAGUGAGUUGUACCCCAACAGGAAAAAAGGAGGAGACGUUUAAAUGCUCUCUGUAAUUCUCACCUUGAUAAAAUAUUCUUAGGGUAAGGAAAAGAAAAAGUUCACAGAAGAUGGUCUGUGUUUUUUCUUCCCUGAACUGUUAACUUAAAUAAUUAUGUGAAUUCAGCAAAUUCUGCCACUUAACCUUUUCUCUGACUCUUCCAACUUAUUAAUAAAUAGAGUGAAA